CAUGAAUGAGAUUAGAUUAGGUCCCUUAUGAAAGAGACCCUAGAGAGUGCUCUUCACUCUUUACAACAUGUGAGAAUACAACAAGAAGUCAUCAGUCUACAAUUGAGAAGAGAGCACUCACCAGAACCUGACCAUGCUGAGACCAUGAUAUUGAACUAUCACCUCCAGAACUGAGCUGAUAUAGUUUGGAUGUUUUUUCCACCUGAAAUGUGACCUCCAAAGUUGGAGCUCCCCCUUCACCUUCCACCAUGACUGUAAGCUCCCAGAGGCCUUCACCAGAAGCAGAUGCCAGCACCAUGCUUCCUGUAUAGCCUGCAGAACCAUGGGCCAAAAUAAAUGUCUUUUCUUCAUAAAUAACCCAGUCUUAGGUAUUUCUUUAUAGUAACACAAAAUGGACUAACAUAGAAAAUUGGUACUGAGAAGUAAGGCAUUGCUAUAAAGAUAUCUGAAGAUGUGGAAGUACUUUGGAACUGGGUAACAGCAAGAGGCUGGAAGAGUUUGGAGGCCUCAGAAGAUGAUGGGAAGAUGAGGGAAAUUUUGGAACUUCUGAGGGACUGGUUAAAUGGUUAUAACCAAAAUGCUAAUAGAAAUAUGGACAGUGAAGGCCAAACUGAAGAGGUCUCAGAUUGAAAUGAUGAACUUAUUUGGAACAAAAGCAAAAAUUAUCCUUGUCACUCUGUAGCAAAGAACUUGGGUGCAUUGUGUCCCUACCCUACGUAUCUGUGGAAGUUUGAAUUUAAGAAUGAUGAUUUAGGAUACCUGGCAGAAGAAAUCUCUAAGCAGCCAAGUGUUAAAGAAGUAGCCUGGCUACUUCUAACAGCCAAUGAUAAGAUAUGGGAGCAAAGAAAUGACUUAAAGUUGGAGCUUAUGAAUAAAAAGGAAGCAGAACAUAAAGGUUAUCUUGCAGUAAUGACUGAGUUAUCACACUAUGAGUUCAUGUGAGACUUGGUUGUUUAAAAGAGCCUAGCACCUCUUCCCUCUCUCUCUUGAUUCCCCUCUUGCCAUGUAAUACAUUGUAUCAGCUUCCCUUCUCCCUUGUGCCAUGAUUGUAAGCUGCCUGAGCGCCCCCAGAAGCAGAUGCCAACACAUGCUUCCUGGAUAUCCUGCCAAGCCAUAAGCCAAAAUAAACCUCUUUUCUUCAUAA
rnacentral:lncRNA from 10 species